rnacentral:rRNA from 1 species
UGGGGAAUUUUGCACAAUGGGGGAGACCCUGAUGCAGCGACGCCGCGUGAUUUAGAAGGCCUUCGGGUUGUAAAAAUCUUUUCUAUGGGAAGAAAAUGACAGUACCAUAGGAAUAAGGACCGGCUAAUUACGUGCCAGCAGCCGCGGUAAUACGUAAGGUCCGAGCGUUGUCCGGAAUCAUUGGGCGUAAAGGGUACGUAGGCGGGUAAGCAAGUUAGAAGUGAAAUCCUAUAGCUCAACUAUAGUAAGCUUUUAAAACUGCUCAUCUUGAGGUAUGGAAGGGAAAGUGGAAUUCCUAGUGUAGCGGUGAAAUGCGCAGAUAUUAGGAGGAAUACCGGUGGCGAAGGCGACUUUCUGGCCAUAACCUGACGCUGAGGUACGAAAGCGUGGGUAGCAAACAGG